rnacentral:rRNA from 1 species
GCUCAUUAAAUCAGUUAUCGUUUAUUUGAUAGUUCCUUUACUACAUGGUAUAACAGGGGUAAUUCUAGAGCUAAUACAUGCUUAAAAUCUCGACCCUUUGGAAGAGAUGUAUUUAUUAGAUAAAAAAUCAAUGUCUUCGGACUCUUUGAUGAUUCAUAAUAACUUUUCGAAUCGCAUGGCCUUGUGCUGGCGAUGGUUCAUUCAAAUUUCUGCCCUAUCAACUUUCGAUGGUAGGAUAGUGGCCUACCAUGGUUUCAACGGGUAACGGGGAAUAAGGGUUCGAUUCCGGAGAGGGAGCCUGAGAAACGGCUACCACAUCCAAGGAAGGCAGCAGGCGCGCAAAUUACCCAAUCCUAAUACAGGGAGGUAGUGACAAUAAAUAACGAUACAGGGCCCAUUCGGGUCUUGUAAUUGGAAUGAGUACAAUGUAAAUACCUUAACGAGGAACAAUUGGAGGGCAAGUCUGGUGCCAGCAGCCGCGGUAAUUCCAGCUCCAAUAGCGUAUAUUAAAGUUGUUGCAGUUAAAAAGCUCGUAGUUGAACUUUGGGUCUGUUUGGCCGGUCCGAUUUUUUCGUGUACUGGAUUUCCAAGCGGACCUUUCCUUCUGGCUAACCUUGGGUCCUUGUGGCUCUUGGCGAACCAGGAUUUUUACUUUGAAAAAAUUAGAGUGUUCAAAGCAGGCGUAUUGCUCGAAUAUAUUAGCAUGGAAUAAUAGAAUAGGACGUUUGGUUCUAUUUUGUUGGUUUCUAGGACCAUCGUAAUGAUUAAUAGGGACGGUCGGGGGCAUCAGUAUUCAAUUGUCAGAGGUGAAAUUCUUGGAUUUAUUGAAGACUAACUACUGCGAAAGCAUUUGCCAAGGACGUUUUCAUUAAUCAAGAACGAAAGUUAGGGGAUCGAAGAUGAUUAGAUACCGUCGUAGU